UAGGCCUCAAGUAUGUGAGCAA
rnacentral:rRNA from 1 species